CAGCAGCCCUCCUGCGCAAGCGCCCUGCAACCCGACUCGUUCCUUCCUCGCCCCCCCGCCUCCUCCAGCAUGAACAAGUCAUCUUUUCUGUCGAAGAACAGUUUAGACAGCCGCCAUUGGACUGCGUGACUUGGCAGCCACCUGUUGGCCACAUGGCUUGCAUCUCUCCAGGGGCCACCAUCUUGGAACAGCAGAGGCCAACCCCUCCCUUUGAAUUAGCCAAUCUUGAAAGACUGCACCUGAGCUCCAAUCCAAGGGAAAGGUCAUGUGCUUCAGAGAUUAUAAAGCCAAGCAAGGAAUAGAGUGAAGAUAAUGCCCUUUCCAUCCCAAAGCACACAGUAAACUAACACAGAGCUCUGACUUGAAUAAAAGAUUGCCA